UGGGGAAUAUUGCACAAUGGGCGCAAGCCUGAUGCAGCCAUGCCGCGUGUAUGAAGAAGGCCUUCGGGUUGUAAAGUACUUUCAGCGGGGAGGAAGGGAGUAAAGUUAAUACCUUUGCUCAUUGACGUUACCCGCAGAAGAAGCACCGGCUAACUCCGUGCCAGCAGCCGCGGUAAUACGGAGGGUGCAAGCGUUAAUCGGAAUUACUGGGCGUAAAGCGCACGCAGGCGGUUUGUUAAGUCAGAUGUGAAAUCGCCGGGCUCAACCUGGGAACUGCAUCUGAUACUGGCAAGCUUGAGUCUCGUAGAGGGGGGUAGAAUUCCAGGUGUAGCGGUGAAAUGCGUAGAGAUCUGGAGGAAUACCGGUGGCGAAGGCGGCCCCCUGGACGAAGACUGACGCUCAGGUGCGAAAGCGUGGGGAGCAAACAGG
rnacentral:rRNA from 1 species